CUAACCCUAGGAAAUGUUUCAGGGGCCAUCGAAUGAUUGUUGCAAAUAAAAAUAAAAAUAUCUGGAAGCGUUUUCAUGAUCUUUAUUUCAUUUUUAUAGGCCCGGCCGCAGUUCUGCUUGACAAGUUCUGAAUGUGAUGGCCCAUUUAGGACCGGAUGUUCUGUUGCAGAAGCAGAUGAAAGGCAGCUGCGCGGCCAUACUGCCUCACUGUUCUUCCCGCACAUCUCACUGUGAAUUUACUAUGUGGACGCCUCCGCAGGAAGCCAGGUCCAGGGCAGAGCAUGCAGAGGAUCCAGGCACAGCCUUGUGCUGGACACCAAAGCCAACCAGUGGAGGGACAUGUAGAAUUAACAGUCUGGGGCUUAUUUCUUUCUUCUUUUCAAGCCUGCUCCAGUGACGGACACAGUCUUAGUGAUGGACAGAGAAGACGAAGAGCCACGAGGGCCUAAGAAGAAAUGAAGCAUCCCUCCCAGGGCCUUCGCUCCACCAUCACCAGCCUUGCUACGCCCUUGCCAGUGUCUCCCAGUACAGCCCAGUCAUGCAUGGUGUGGGUCUCUUGGAGCACACAGGGCUUCACACAGGCAGGAUCUCACUGUGCGGCCUAAGCUGGCCUGAAACUCACCAUCAGCCUCCUUCAGCCUCCAGAGAGCGGACAUCAUAGGAGAGCACCAUGUCUGUCUUUAAACAAUUAGAUGCCAAUUUAAAUAGUUACAGGUGUCUUUUGUAUUGGCUGAUGUGUUUCCAGAAAUUGUUGGCAGAAUAGAUUAAUAUUAAUAUAGAAUAGAUUAAUAUUAAUGUUAAUAGAAGGGUACAGAGACUUUGAAACCAGACUUUUGAACCCCAUAAUUUCUUCCAUUUUCUGGCUCAUUACUUUGUACAAGCUACCCCAACUGUCUGAGCCUUGAUUUGGUGGUCUGUGAAGUAGGGGCCCGCGAGUUAGCAUGUGUAAAUCAGUUGAUUUGGGGCUUAAGGACGUAGCAGGUCUCUGUUAGAAAGUAAUUUAUUUGUAGUCUGGCAUGGUGGUGGCACACACCUUUGAUUCCAGUACUCAGGAGACAGAAGCAGGCAGAUUUCUGAGUUUGAGGCCAGUCUGGUCUACAGUGAGGAACGAAAACCCAGUGCUGAGAGGAGAGGAGGCUAGAGAAAAGACCACUCACUUGAAUGAAAAGACACUUUAUUACUGCAGCAAAGGUGGGUCCUAAGUGCUGACAACAGCCUCUCCAUCUUGCUUACCUUAGCCAACAGUUGCAAGAUAAGGGAAAGAAAGGGCAGACAGGAGGCAUGCCUGCAUCUUCACGUUUCCCUCUCUGGAGGACACAGGUCUAGGUCCUGGUCCAGCUUGAUUCCCCGGCUUUGGGCCAGGCAGGACAGAGGCCUGCUUCAGGUCACCCCUCCCCCAGCCUGCACCAGAUGGCAGGCACGAUGGUCCCAGCCCUCAGAGCCAUCCCUGUGCUGAAGCCGUUUUAAGGAUAAUUUCAGUAAAGACGGCUCAGAAUGACAACCUGACUGCAGAAGCGUGAGCCCUGCUCCCAGGGACACAGUCAGUACAGUGCCACCAGUCCAUGAAAUGUGGAGAUAGUUCCCCCAGGGGUUCGUUACAGAUUUCCUGGUUCUAUCAGACCCCAGCCACACUACAUGUGGAUACCUGGACCUGGAGCGUUUAUAGCGUGUUUCUCUGGCUGUUGCUAUGAUCUAAGACCCUGUCUCUUGACUCCCUUCUUCCUAACCUCUGCCUGUGAGUGGUUCACAAAAGAAUGAAUGACAGGCAGUUGGAUGGAUCCUUGAGAUUCUGUAUUCUUUUUUAAGACUUAG